rnacentral:rRNA from 1 species
UACAGAGGGUGCAAGCGUUAAUCGGAAUUACUGGGCGUAAAGCGUGCGUAGACGGUUAUGUAAGUCGGGUGUGAAAGCCCCGGGCUCAACCUGGGAAUGCCAUUCGAGACUGCAUAGCUAGGGUGCGGAAGAGGGAAGCGGAAUUUCAGGUGUAGCGGUGAAAUGCGUAGAUAUCUGAAGGAACACCAGUGGCGAAAAGCGGCUUCCUGGUCCAGCACCGACGUUCAGGCACGAAAGCGUGGGGAGCAAACAGG